rfam:Salmo salar isolate Sally breed double haploid chromosome ssa22, whole genome shotgun sequence.
GAAUAUUCCAAAUGUAUGUCACUCUGGAUAAGAGUGUCUGCUAAAUAACUCAAA